rnacentral:rRNA from 1 species
CCGGCACGGGUGAGUAACACGUAUCCAACCUGCCGUCUACUCUUGGCCAGCCUUCUGAAAGGAAGAUUAAUCCAGGAUGGCAUCAUGAGUUCACAUGUCCGCAUGAUUAAAGGUAUUUUCCGGUAGACGAUGGGGAUGCGUUCCAUUAGAUAGUAGGCGGGGUAACGGCCCACCUAGCAACGAUGGAUAGGGGUUCUGAGAGGAAGGUCCCCCACAUUGGAACUGAGACACGGUCCAA